rnacentral:lncRNA from 1 species
CCAUAGUACACGAAUGCCCCACUCGCACUAUCAUUUUCUAUGUUCAGUGGACCGUGAAAUUGGGGUCAAAACUAUAAUUUGGCAUUAAAAUUAGAAAGAUCUUAUCAUGGGGAACAAGUGUACUAAGUUUCAAGUUGAUGUAACUUUAACUUCAUCAAAAACUACCUUGACCAAAAACUUUAACCUGAACUUCGCACUAUCAUUUUCUAUGUUCAGUGGACCAUGAAAUUGGGGUCAAAACUAUAAUUUGGCAUUAAAAUUAGAAAGAUCUUAUCAUGGGGAACAAGUGUACUAAGUUUCAAGUUGAUUGGACUUCAACUUCUUCAAAAACUACCUUGACCAAAAACUUUAACCUGAAGCGGACAGACGAACGGAGGCACAGACCAGAAAACAUAAUGCCCCUCUACUAUCGUAGGUGGGGCAUAAAAAU